UACGGAGGGUGCAAGCGUUUAUCCGGAUUUACUGGGUUUAAAGGGUGCGUAGGUGGGUAGGAAAGUCAGUGGUGAAAUCUUCGGGCUUAACCCGGAACUGCCAUUGAUACUAUUUAUCUUGAAUACUUUGGAGGUAAGCGGAAUAUGUCAUGUAGCGGUGAAAUGCUUAGAUAUGACAUAGAACACCAAUUGCGAAGGCAGCUUACUACACAGUUAUUGACACUGAGGCACGAAAGCGUGGGGAGCAAACGGG
rnacentral:rRNA from 1 species